rnacentral:tRNA from 1 species
ACCCUUGUAGCUCAAUCGGUAGAGCAUCCGGCCGUUAACCGGGAGGUUGAAGGUUCAAGUCCUUCCAUGGGUGCCA